rnacentral:lncRNA from 1 species
CAGAGAUAUAGUUGAAAAACAAAAUAAGCUCUGAGAUAGAAGUUUUGAGACUGAAGCAAGAGAAUUAAGUGGAUCCCAAAAGUCAGCAAUGUCAAUGCUCCUAGUAUCAUUUUGUUUUGUCUGAGAAUAAAUCCUUCUCAAAGGCUCUUCCCCUGGAGAGCUGUAGGACUCCAUCUGUUCCAAACAGCUGCCAAAUACUUUUAAUUUGGUCGGCAACUGUGAAAAGUGUCAACCCAUUUUCAAAGCUGUUCCUGCCAGUGAAUCAGUCAAACCUCCUGCUAUGA